CGGAGCGUAGCGCAGGGGCUUAGCGCACUUGUAUGGGGUACAAGAGGUCGAGAGUUCAAAUCUCUCCGCUCCGACCA
rnacentral:tRNA from 1 species